GUCCCGCAACGAGCGCAACCCUCGGCAUUAGUUGCUAACAGGUAAUGCUGAGCACUCUAAUGCGACCGCCGGGGAUAACCUGGAGGAAGGUGGGGAUGACGUCAAGUCAUCAUGGCCCUUAUGUCCAGGGCUACACACGUGCUACAAUGGGAUGUACAAUGGGUUGCAAUACCGCGAGGUGGAGCUAAUCCCCUAAAGCAUCCCACAGUUCGGAUUGCUCUCUGCAACUCGAGAGCAUGAAGCUGGAACCGCUAGUAAUCACCGGUCAGCUAUACGGUGGUGAAUACGUUCCCGGGCCUU
rnacentral:rRNA from 1 species